ensembl:misc_RNA 7SK 7SK RNA
GAAUACCCAGUUUGAUAAGGCUCCUACGACAUCUGUCACCCCAUUGAUCGCCAGGGUUGAUUCAGCUGAUCUGGCUGGAUAGGCAGGUGUCCCCUUCCUCUCUCAUCACUCCAUGAGCGUCCCUCCUAAAGCUGCAUGCUAGGUCAAAGCUGCAUGCUAGGUCAAAGCUGCAUGCUAGGUCAAAGAGGACGACCAGCCCCGAUAGAGGAGGACUGGUCUUCAGUCAAGAGUAUACAAAUAGCUGUGCUCCGCAGCUAGAACAAGCUCUCAAGUUCCAGAAGGAAGUGAAAGAAAAAGGAAACCAAGAAUGU